ACUGAUCGAUACGAAAUAAAACAAAAUCAGAGUUUCACUAGAAAAAGUUGAACACGUCGCUCUCUCUCUCAAUUACUCUGCACAGUCGGUUCUGACCAGUUGCCGUUAACACUUCGACAAACUACGAAUUUACUAAAAUGCCCUCCCGUCAACCGCCGCCGGUUCACCACCAGAUCACCCGGCAUCUUGUACCUCCGCUGGCCGGUGGACUGACGGCGGCGUUUUCUUUUCUUAUUUUACUAACUCUCUGCUUCGGGAGGAUCAUAAAGAAGCGGACAGCCCCUUCUGCUGCUGAUACUGAUUCCAAGAAACCUCCUCACCGGCUGUCUUACUCUCUCCUCCGUCGCGCCACCAACAAUUUCUCUUUUUCCCUCCGCCUCGGCCAGGGGGGUUUCGGGUCUGUCUACCGCGCUACACUUAAACCAAACCCCAUCACCAAGAACUCUACUUUGCAUGUUGCUGUGAAGCUCAUGGAUUCUGGGUCUUUACAGGGAGAGCGCGAGUUCCAGAAUGAGUUGCUUUUUUCCUCGAAGAUUGAAUGUAAAUACAUCGUUUCCGUGAUGGGGUUUUCCUCAAAUCCCGGUAAACGUCGAAUGCUUUUGGUUUAUGAGCUUAUGGAAAAUGGUAGCUUACAAGACUGUCUUUUCCAUCGAAAAAGCCAGGAGCUAAAGAAUUGGGAUAGGAGGUUUUUGAUUGCUUUGCAUAUAGCUAAAGGGCUCGAGUAUUUACAUCAUUACUGUGAUCCCCCGAUUAUUCAUGGGGAUAUUAAACCAAGCAAUAUUUUGUUGGAUGGGAAUUUUAAUGCGAAAAUCAGCGAUUUUGGGUUGGCAAGGUCGAUAGUGGAGGAGAACAUUAAAGGUGAGGUGAAGAGGGACGGUAAUCUGAGGAACGGGGUGGAGGAUAAUGGACUUGUUUUGGAGGAGACAGGGAGUGUGAUUACCACAAAUGGGUUCGAGGACUUCAAUAAUGUUCAUAAUCUUGGGGACGUGGAAAGGUCACCAGAGAGUGUAAUUGUCAGGGUUGAGGACUCACCCGAGGUGGGGGUGGAGUUGUCCCCUGAGGCGGAUGCAGCUCCUGUGGUGUCGCCAAGAACAGUGGCAGAGAUGGCAUCUCCAUUUGAGGGAUUGGAGAAGACUAGCAUCUCAGAGGGGAAUUUCGAUAGGUUUAGUGAUGAGAGUGGGGGGGAAAAGAGCGGGUGGAAGAAGAAAAAGAAGAGUGUACCGGGUAAAGAUUGGUGGUGGAAACAAGAUAAUGGAGGUGAAGGGGAGUCAGGAAAAGUGAAGGAUUAUGUAAUGGAAUGGAUUGGGAAUGAGAUAAAGAAGGAGAGGCCAAAAAGUGACUGGAUUGUUACCUCAUCAAGCUCUGGCGUUGUUUCAAAGAAGGAGAAGAAGAAGAAGAAAAAACAGCGAUUAGAUUGGUGGGUAUCAUUAGAUGAUGAGAAGAAUAUAAAGGAAAAGAGAAGGCCCGCAAGGGAGUGGUGGAAGGAAGAGUACUGCGAAGAGCUUGAGAAGAAGAAAAAGAAGAAGAAAAAACAAGCACAAGGGUCAAUGAGCGAUGAUCAUUACUGUGAAAAUUAUUGGCCAGGGGAUGAUGAACUGUAUGCUGAUAGAAAGAAGAAAAGGAGCAGGAGCAGGAGCCGGAACAGUAGGGGUAGUAUGGACUGGUGGUUGGAUGGUCUCAAUGGUGAGCUAUGGAAAGCACAGAGAAAUAGUUACGAUUCUGUCAGUGGGGAGAUCCCUAAGAGUGGGGGUAUCAGUAGCACACCAAGUAUGAGGGGAACCGUGUGCUACAUUGCCCCGGAGUAUGGUGGUGGUGGGGAUAUAUCUGAGAAAUGUGAUGUUUAUAGUUAUGGAGUUCUGUUAUUAGUCCUCAUUGCUGGACGUAGGCCGCUUCAGGUGACAGGGUCUCCCAUGUCAAAGUUCCAACAAGCCAAUCUUCUAUCCUGGGCACGUAAUCUUGCCCGGACUGGGAAGCUUCUUGAUUUAGUCGAUCAGAAUAUUCAAUCAUUAAAUAAAGAGCAAGCCCUGUUAUGCAUCACAGUGGCGCUUCUUUGCUUGCAAAAGUCACCUGCUCGCCGACCUUCCAUGAAAGAGGUGGUGGGGAUGUUGUCUGGAGAUUUAAAAACUCCCCCAUUGCCAAUAGAAUUUUCUCCUUCACCUCCUUCCCGCCCACAUAAGUCUCGCAAGAAGGUUCGGAAACCUUGUUCAGGUUAUAAACUAAAAGAGAUGACUGGCAGCUAAAUAUUUGCAUCUGAUGGUGAAAAUGGGGAAUUGGAAUCUGGAACUUCUGAUAAUCGAACAUGUGUGUGCAUUGUGCAGCAAGCUGCGAACGUUAUAAGCCAGAUUUCCUUUAGUACGGAAGAGAAGGUUUCUCUUAAGAAGCCAACCACUGUUCCUGAGGUUGCAAAAUGUUCUUUAAGUUUUUGCCUUUUUCCUUGAUUUGAAAUUGUUCUUUACUUUGCGUAAUCUUAGUUUGAUUUUUUGUAUUCCAGGAUAUAAUACUGCAAUAUGUUUGUCAAAAUCAGAACUAUUUAUUUGUCUAUAAAUCUCAGCCAUUUGUCAUAGGUUUCCCAUUCAGACGCAACCAUUUGCUUAUAUGUGUAUAUGCCUGUAACUGUCUUUUCAGGUAAACGGAACGGGUAUGUGUUGCUGAUCAUAGAUAUGUUAAAAGUGAUAACUUAUUCUCAGUCCCUCCCUUCAAAUUUAUUUUAUAUUUUUUGGGUUUUCCUUCAUCUUAUUCUUCGUUGGAGUGUUAUUAUUGACAUUAGACAUGGAUAGUGAGGUCCCAUUUCUGUUUAUGGACAACUCAUAUGAUAGAAUUUUUAUGUUUUAAGUUGUAUUUAACUUGUUCCCACUGUAAUGGGGAUGUGAUUGUUUUCUUUGGGUUAAGAGGGAAAUGCUUAAUGCACUGCACAUUGCGUUUGAUUGUGGACGUAUUUUGUUUUUAUUGAAUGCACGCAAACACGGCUUUAAGCUUCCUCUGAAAGUGUAAACCCCCUUUUGCAGUAUAUCAAAGCACUUUUUCCUGCCGAGUAUAACCCUUUUUAUGCCGGUUUUUGAAAUAGAGACACUGAUGAACUCGGUUAUUGGAGAUUAGGGAUCCCAGAAGGCAAAAUCUUCUUCAUUAAUCCCAAGUUAAUUAUUAUUCUUUUAUUGAUUUGUCUCUUAAGUUCGAUUGUACAACAACCAACAGUGUCAAUAAAGAAAAAAAAGUGAGUCUUGUUAGUUGAGCCAUCCAGCACCAUGUAUCAAACAUGCAUAUGUCCACAAAACUGCAAGUUUAUUUUUUCAUUUUCAUCCAUCUGUGAUGUUCAUUUAUGCUCACAGGGUGAGGUAGCCAUUAAUCACCAUAUUGAUGUGAACUCGUACAUUUCAUUGCAAUCUCUGGUACACGACAUAUUCCUGCCAACAUCACUGGUCGAGCAGGUACUGCUGUGACAGAAAUACCAAUGAAAAAAAUAUUUGAACUGUGAAAUUUCCUUUUUUCCAUAACUUUCUGCAUAUAAUAACAUCUCGUGUGCGCAAUGUUGGACAGAUUUGUUCUCUUCCAGGAUUCUGGUAACCAUUCCCAGUUUUGCUGUAAAACUAAGUUCUAGCAAGCUCAUUUAAAUGUAAAAAAAUUUCAUUUUUGCAAUGAACCUGCAUGUAAAAUCUGGCUCAUAAGCUCCUCAUGUAUGAAUAGCAGUCGAUUUUCUCCUUUGUCCUCUAAUUAUUUUCAGAUCUUCCCUAGAAAUCCUAAAAAUAGUUUACACUUUUUUCUUUGGCAGAUUUUCGUCAUAUCUGAGGUUGAAGCAAGCGGUGGGAAUAUUGAGGUAUUUCUGAUGAGGACAUCGGACGACUUUUACUUAUUUUAUUUAAGCUUUAUUUAUUUUCUUGGACUAUUAUUUAAAUUUGGACUUGUAUGGGCUCGGGCCCAAGCUUGUUAGUGUUGCUUUACUAUUUAAACCUAUUUUGCAUUCUAAUUUUUAGACGGUGAUGAAUGAAUAUUUUUGGUGGCUUAUGGCGUUCUCUCCCUUGUUUUCUUUUUUCUCUUCUGUUGAAUCCCCCUCCCUUUCUCCUCUCUAAUUCUCCCUCCCCGUAGAUCUGUUCUAUUUCUCAAUUAACCGUCCCGUUGGUGCUGCAUCAAAUUUGGUAUCAGAGCCGAACCAUGGGUGAUUUCUUUUCUUGAAUCCAAAAUUUAUUCAUAUUUCCUUCCCAAAAUCUGUUGGAACAGCACGAACUAAAAGAAUUUUUGGUAAAAGUAGCAAUUUUUUUUCUUCCUCUUCAAUUCUCAGUCUUAGUUGGAAAAAAAAAAAAGUUACUAUUCACGGGGUACUGUUCACGCCCAAAAAUUUUUUUUCGUUUUUUUCUAUUGCUCAAAAUAAUAAUAAUAAUAAUAAUAAUAAUUUGUGGUGUUGUUCCACAAAUUCUAAACCCUAGCAUUCAAGCCCAUUUAGCCCAACUAACCCAGCCUACUCUUUACGACCCAGGCCCACUCUCCAAACACUAACCCCAGCUGGCCCAUAUCUAUAACAGGAUCUAAACCCCUUCCCAUCUGACCCAGUCCCAAAUAUCCGACCAAGCCCGAUUAUAACCAAUCCAUUGACAUCAAAUAUCCCACAGUUUCACCCGAUUCCUCUCUCACAAUCACUCUCUUGCUGCCAUCGCCUCUAAUCACCAUCACGCUACCACUUCAUUAUCUAUUGUACCCAGGCAUCCAGAGCACUACCGCUUCAUCGCCAUAGGCCACUACCACCAAUCCAAGAUCAUACACUUCCACCACAGUUACCACACUCAUAUAUUUCCAAGUCCAUCUCAACAAUCUAAAAGUCACAGUCACCACACUCAGUUUUACGUUCACACCAGAGCCAGCACAAGUUACAGUUAACAGAGGUUAAAACCAUUGGACACGAAGGGAAGAACAGAAGCAUAGUUGGGGCUUAUAAGUCGACAAUUCAGAUCAAGCGGCAUACGAAUAAUCAAACCUAAACAACAGGGAGUCCUUGAUUUCUAUUUAGUAUUGGUUUAUACUACUGCUUCAUUUUUAAAAUUGCAUCAAUUAAAAUUUUGUGCUGCUGUUAUUGUGAUAAUUUUAGCCUUAAACCUCACUUGAUCAAAAUCAUUAAUCGAAUUGACACCAUAAAUCGAAUUGACUUCCAUUGUUCCCCACUUAAAUUGAUUGGAGAAUCUGACUAGUGUUGACCCUUGUUUUGCCAUUUUACAUGUACUAGCAAUAUUAGCUUGUUUUGGAUUUAAUUAAUCCCAAUAUUUAAAAUUAAAUUAAAAAAAAUGGUACAAGUUAUUUUCCAUUGCUUGCACGUAUUGUUCACUGAUCUCAUCCUAGCACGUCAUUUAGCUGGUAUUACAUUGCAUGUAGUUGCAUAGGGGUCGUCUUGUCAUCUCUAUUUUCAAUACAUUGAUCAUGGAUCCAUCCCAAUUUGAUGCACUCACUAGACAAUUAGCGCAACUUGCCACUAGCCUAUCGACUGUCCAAUCAGAUAUAACUGCUACUCGUGAGGAGAGAAAGAACCUAGUUGCUAAGUUGAGCAAUUUUAAGCGAACCCCUCGUUUAACUAACACUAAUUAUGAAGCGUCUCAUAAUAGACAAUAUCAUCGUGGACAAAGUGAUCAAAAAUAUUUUCGACGCGAUCGUAGGAAUAGGGAUCAGAUUCGUAAGCAAGAACGAGAUAAUUUUGAAAUUCUUACUCAAUGGGAUGCCCUUAAACAAGGAAAUUAAUUAGUGACUAAGUAUAUCGCGCAAUUUGAGGAAUUUCGAACCAAAUGUCAUUUAAUUGAGGAUGAAAGCAUGACUUUGAGUAGGUUUAGCCAAGGUCUGAGAGAUGAUCUUAAGCGCGAGCUUUUUUUUCGAGGUGUCACUACUCUUGAUCACGCUUACUCUUUAACUUGAGAUUAUGAAUUGAUUAUUAGUACUCCAUAUGAAAAACGUAGUCAUCGUUGUUCACCCAUCUCAUUAGCGUCGCCUCAUCAUAAGUCUAUCAUAAAACUUUCUCCGUCCAAUGUUCCUCCUAUUUGGAAAAAUAAUUGUAAAAGUCGUGAUAGUCCAAGAUCUUUUUCUUCGUGUAGAAAGCGUAAUGGCAAUCAUCUUUCGGUUUCAUUGGCUCCACUUCCUCCUGUUAAGUCCCUUCUAGGACCGCCCCCGUCUAAUGUGGCUCCACUUCCUCCUGUUGAGUCCCUUCUAGGACUUCCCCCGUCUAAUGUUCCUCCAAUUUUGGAAAAUAAGGGUAUAAUUUGUGAAACUCCAAAGACUUCUCACUUGCUAUUCAUCAGCUGUAAGGAUUUUGGCCACAUCUCUUUCAAAUGUUCUAAUCGAGCCUUAGUCAUAGAAGAACGAAAGAAUGCAAUAGAAUAGUCGUUAGAAGAUCUAGCAUAUGGCCCUAAACUUGAAGAUUUUGAUGAUUAUAGUCAGGACACUUCCUUAAGUGGAAUCCCGACCCUUCCCGAGACUUUAGAAACUAUACCCCUUGUUUCCGACAACUCUCAAUCACAUGUUAUAUGUCAUACCCUUACCCAACUCAAAGAGUUUGAUGAUUUCACUAGUCACCCUUGGAGAAUCCAGUCGCUUGUUAGCAUUAAAUCGAAAUUCUCCACUACUGACCAACCUCAAACUGAUGGUCAAAUCGAAAUUGCUAACCGAAGUCUUGGCAAUUUAUUACAGUCUCUAGUACAGAAAAAUCUUGAGAAUUGGGACUCGAUCCCCUCAAUUGUUCACAUCGCAUAUAACAAUUCUAUGAAUCGGUCUCUAGGUCUAAAUCCAUUUGAAGUUGUUCAUAGUUAUAAGUCUAGGUGACCGUUAGAACUUAUUCCCAUGUCCCCGCAUGCUAGUGUGUUGUUGUGAGCUGAAGUAUUUGUAUACCAUCUUCAUGACUUGCAUAUUGAGAUCAACAAACAACAUGACGCAAGUAAUGCAUUAUAUAAACUUCAAGUUGAUUCGCAUAAACAAUAUUUUGAAUUUAAUAUUGGGGAUUAUGUCAUAUUGCAAGCUUGUAGUGCUGGUCCUUUAAAAUUUUUAAAGCAUGUUGGUUCAAAUGCACAUGUGAUUGCCCUUUCAUCACAUUUUAGCCACCACUCUACUUUAAAUAUUGAGGACUUCAUUACUUACAAAUACUGUAUUACUUCCUUUGAUGAUCCAUUUCUACCUAACUUUGUGGACCCCCAAUUUGACUAUAUUGAUAUUUCUACUUUAAUACCAUCUAUCACAGUAAACAAAAUUAAAAUUGAUGUUAUUUUAGAUGAACGUGUUGUAUUGACCAAUGAUGGCAAAAUUCAGUACUUCCUUGUUUGUUGGAUAAAUCGACGUACUUUUUAUGCUCAUUAUGUGCAAUCAUGUGAAAAUGUUGAAGAUGAGGUGCAUGAGUAUUGGUUAUUUGAAAUCCAGUAUUAGUACUUGGUUAGAAUGAAAGAUCGGCCCCCUUGGUCAGAUCAUAUUCUUGGGAAUAAGCUACAAUUUUCAGUACUAUCAAUUAUGGAAUUUCGUUACUUAGUUCGUUAGAAAGAUCGUCCCUCGUGGCUUCACUUGAAGCAUUUGGAGUAUCAGAUUGACUGCAGCCUAUACUAUCUAUCAACUCGAUAGGGUCGAGUUUUUCUCCCACCCCGGGAGAGCUGAUGAGGAUAUCGGACGACGUUUACUUAUUUUAUUUAAGCUUUAUUUAUUUUCUUGGACUAUUAUUUAAAUUUGGACUUGUAUGGGCUCGGGCUCAAGCUCGUUAGCGUUGCUUUACUAUUUAAAUCUAUUUUGCAUUCUAAUUUUCAGAUGGUGAUGAAUGAAUAUUUUUGGUGGCUUAUGGCGUUCUCUCCCUUCUUGUUUUCUUUCUUCUCUUCUGUUGAAUCCCCCUCCCUUUCUCCUCUCUAAUUCUCCCUCCCCGUAGAUCUGUUCUGUUUCUCAAUUAACCGUCCCGUUGGUGCUGCAUCAAUUUCCAUGGCUGAAAUCUUUGCCAGUAGCUCCAGAGUAGUGACUGUGGAGGGCUUGAGUUGUGGGAAAGCACGUGCUGAAGGGUUUUUAGAAAGCGGCUAUGGGGUGGUACCUUUGGUGAAGUUUGCAAAAGACCCUUGUGCUGGGUUGAGCACGUCAAUGGAUAAUGAAACUGGAUUGGAUCCACCAGCAAGAAAAUCAGGCCUGUAUGUAGCUGCUGAUUACUUUGCACUGGGUUAUUUUGUUUGGGUAGUAUUUAGCCAACUUGGCUCGCAUUGGAUAUGAGGAGAAAAAUAUGUAUAUGGCUGCCUAUGAUUGGAGAAGCUCAUUCCAGAAUACUGAGGUGUGUCACUUUUAUUGCCCUUGACAUGCUGAAAUAAUCCUUUGAAGCUUCUAAUGUAACAAGUAAACAGGAGAAUCUGAAUAAUCCAAUAUAAAAUUGGUGUGCCGACCAUUUAAUGGCUGUAGUGAAUAUGGGUGGGCCUUUUUUGGGUGUUCUGAAGAUAGUCUUAGGAAAUGGCCCCAUUAAUAGUUUGUUUACCUGGGGUGUACUCUUUAAAUCUCAUGUUCAAGGAUUGUUGUUGGUUGUAAUACUUCGGGACGACUACAGCUCUUUUUGGAUGUUAGAAUCUUGUAAGGAAUUUUUUUUGUAAACUGGAACUAUGAAAAGUAAGAAAAGAAAAUAAAGGGGGGUCUCAUAAUUCUCUUCCAUGCAUGUAAUAAAGAAUUAAAAGUUGUUCGUAUCGACGGGAUUGAAAUUCCAUUAUUGCUAGAAAAUAUUUGUGGUUGGACUCUUCUUUUUUCCUAUACAGCCAGAUGGUUAUAUACUGUUCGGUGAUUAUGCAACUGGUGAUCUCGCUCAAGAAGCGGGAAAAUGGAAGCCCUGAGAGCCUCGUACGGAGAAACUUCCUCCUAUUCUGAAACAGAUUCGAGCUCGACCCAUUUACUCAAAUUGAACAAAUCACCCUCGACUUUAUAAAAGCUGCAUUUGAUUGCUCAAAUCAACCCAAUCGAGUCCAUAGCUUUCCUCACAUUGAAGGCAAGUUUGCUUUGCAUGCUUGCAUCACAGGUAAUUCGUUCAUUUUAUUUUUUCAGUACUUAUUCAUUUUUUAUUUGAUUUAUUAUUGUGAUUUUGCUUAUUGGUUUUUAGUUAGUAUACCAUUGGUUUAAAGAUCUCUCUAGAGGGAUUCUUCGUUAGCUUAGAGUUCCUAGCAUAGCUGCAUUUGAGCUUUCAAGAAAUGUCUGGUCUUCUCUGGCAUCGUUUGUUCCAAAAUCCAAAGUUUCUAACAAUUUGGUCUGUUUAAUUGAAGUUAAUUCUGGGAUAGUUUUGUAUUCAAUUUUUGUGCGAGAAUUUGUUCUACAAUUGGCAUGUGGAAGAUCAUUACCUGCA